CCUACGGGUGGCAGCAGUGGGGAAUAUUGCACAAUGGGGGAAACCCUGAUGCAGCGACGCCGCGUGAGCGAUGAAGUUUUUCGGUAUGUAAAGCUCUAUCAGCAGGGAAGAAAAUGACGGUACCUGACUCAGAAGCCACGGCUAACUACGUGCCAGCAGCCGCUGGAAUACGUCGGGGGCCAGCGUUAUCCGGAUUUACUGGGUGUAAAGGGGGCGUAGACGGGGGUGCAGGUCCGAGGUGAAAGGCCGGGGCGCAACCCCGGGACUGCAUUUGGAACUGUGCGGCUAGAGUGUCGGAGAGGCAGGCGGAAUGCCGAGUGUAGCGGUGAAAUGCGUAGAUAUUAGGAGGAACACCAGUGGCGAAGGCGGCCUGCUGGACGAUGACUGACGUUGAGGCUCGAAAGCGUGGGGAGCAAACAGGAUUAGAUACCCGAGUAGUC
rnacentral:rRNA from 1 species